rnacentral:rRNA from 2 species
AAGGUUGACCUCGGAUCAGGUAGGAAUACCCGCUGAACUUAAGCAUAUCAAUAAGCGGAGGAAAAGAAACCAACAGGGAUUGCCUUAGUAGCGGCGAGCGAAGCGGCAACAGCUCAAAUUUGAAAUCUGGCUACUUUGUAGUCCGAGUUGUAAUUUGCAGAGGAUGCUUUUGGUGAGGUGCCUUCCGAGUUCCCUGGAACGGGACGCCAGAGAGGGUGAGAGCCCCGUACGGUUGGACACCAAACCUUUGUAUAGCUCCUUCAACG